rnacentral:misc_RNA from 1 species
UAAAGAUCAACAUAAAUGCCAUUCAGCAUAUGUAAAAUAUUAUCCUUUCCAGUUACUGAAAUAGAUGAGACAUGUCACCUAAUGGUCCUGCAGCACGCCGCCUUAAAUUGCAGUGGUGGAGCCAGGAUUUUUACUCGGGGGUUCAGAAUCUGAAGAAGUAAAUAUACGAACUAGUCGAAGAGGGUUUGAUAUCUACUAUAUAAAAAAUGAUUUUAAUCAUGAAUAAAUGGUAUAAUUUUUGCGAAGGGGGUUCAUCUGAACUCCUGACUACAGGCUGGCUCCACCCUGCUUAAGAGUCUGCCUUUAGAUUUCUUAUGUCAGUACAUGAUACAUAUUCCUUUUGUGAUAGCGUACAUCAGCAUUUAUUGCUAAAGAAUUGGAUUCGCGUAUCUGCUUUUAUUUAUUUCUGUUGUAAUAGAAUAUUUUGACUUGGCUGAAUUGACAUA